UGCAGUCGAGCGGAGAGAGGUAGCUUGCUACUGAUCUUAGCGGCGGACGGGUGAGUAAUGCUUAGGAAUCUGCCUAUUAGUGGGGGACAACAUUUCGAAAGGAAUGCUAAUACCGCAUACGUCCUACGGGAGAAAGCAGGGGAUCUUCGGACCUUGCGCUAAUAGAUGAGCCUAAGUCGGAUUAGCUAGUUGGUGGGGUAAAGGCCUACCAAGGCGACGAUCUGUAGCGGGUCUGAGAGGAUGAUCCGCCACACUGGGACUGAGACACGGCCCAGACUCCUACGGGAGGCAGCAGUGGGGAAUAUUGGACAAUGGGCGCAAGCCUGAUCCAGCCAUGCCGCGUGUGUGAAGAAGGCCUUAUGGUUGUAAAGCACUUUAAGCGAGGAGGAGGCUACUUUAGUUAAUACCUAGAGAUAGUGGACGUUACUCGCAGAAUAAGCACCGGCUAACUCUGUGCCAGCAGCCGCGGUAAUACAGAGGGUGCAAGCGUUAAUCGGAUUUACUGGGCGUAAAGCGCGCGUAGGCGGCUAAUUAAGUCAAAUGUGAAAUCCCCGAGCUUAACUUGGGAAUUGCAUUCGAUACUGGUUAGCUAGAGUGUGGGAGAGGAUGGUAGAAUUCCAGGUGUAGCGGUGAAAUGCGUAGAGAUCUGGAGGAAUACCGAUGGCGAAGCAGCCAUCUGGCCUAACACUGACGCUGAGGUGCGAAAGCAUGGGGAGCAAACAGGAUUAGAUACCCUGGUAGUCCAUGCCGUAAACGAUGUCUACUAGCCGUUGGGGCCUUUGAGGCUUUAGUGGCGCAGCUGACGCGAUAAGUAGACCGCCUGGGGAGUACGGUCGCAAGACUAAAACUCAAAUGAAUUUGACGGGGCCCGCACAAGCGGUGGAGCAUGUGGGUUUAAUUUCGA
rnacentral:rRNA from 1 species